rnacentral:rRNA from 1 species
GAUGAACGCUGGCGGUGUGCCUAAUACAUGCAAGUCGAGCGAACGGACGAGAAGCUUGCUUCUCUGAUGUUAGCGGCGGACGGGUGAGUAACACGUGGAUAACCUACCUAUAAGACUGGGAUAACUUCGGGAAACCGGAGCUAAUACCGGAUAAUAUUUUGAACCGCAUGGUUCAAAAGUGAAAGACGGUCUUGCUGUCACUUAUAGAUGGAUCCGCGCUGCAUUAGCUAGUUGGUAAGGUAACGGCUUACCAAGGCAACGAUGCAUAGCCGACCUGAGAGGAGGAUCGGCCACACUGGAACUGAGACACGGUCCAGACUCCUACGGGAGGCAGCAGUAGGGAAUCUUCCGCAAUGGGCGAAAGCCUGACGGAGCAACGCCGCGUGAGUGAUGAAGGUCUUCGGAUCGUAAAACUCUGUUAUCAGGGAAGAACAUAUGUGUAAGUACAUGUGCGCACCUUGACGGUACCAAAUCAGAAAGCCACGGCUAACUACGUG